rnacentral:rRNA from 1 species
UACAGAGGUCCCAAGCGUUGUUCGGAUUCACUGGGCGUAAAGGGUGCGUAGGUGGCGGGGUAAGUUUGAUGUGAAAUCCCCAGGCUCAACCUGGGAACUGCGUCUGAUACUGGAUGGCUUGAAUCCGGGAGAGGGAUGCAGAAUUCCAGGUGUAGCGGUGAAAUGCGUAGAUAUCUGGAGGAAUACCGGUGGCGAAGGCGGCAUCCUGGACCGGCAUUGACGCUGAGGAGCGAAAGCCAGGGGAGCAAACGGG